AUUGAACGCUGGCGGCAGGCCUAACACAUGCAAGUCGAGCGGCAGCGCGUCCGACCACCCUCGGGUGGUCGGAUGGCGGCGAGCGGCGGACGGGUGAGGAAUGCAUCGGAAUCUGCCUCGUUGUGGGGGAUAACGUAGGGAAACUUACGCUAAUACCGCAUACGACCUACGGGUGAAAGUGGGAGACCUUCGGGCCUCACGCGAUGAGAUGAGCCGAUGCCGGAUUAGCUAGUUGGCGGGGUAAAGGCCCACCAAGGCGACGAUCCGUAGCUGGUCUGAGAGGAUGACCAGCCACACUGGAACUGAGACACGGCCCAGACUCCUACGGGAGGCAGCAGUGGGGAAUAUUGGACAAUGGGGGGAACCCUGAUCCAGCUACGCCGCGUGGGUGAUGAAGGCCUU
rnacentral:rRNA from 1 species